GUAAAACGGUGCAACGACGGCGAG
rnacentral:siRNA from 1 species